GCAUAUCAAUAAGCGGAGGAAAAGAAACUAACAAGGAUUCCCCUAGUAGCGGCGAGCGAAGCGGGAAAAGCUCAAAUUUGUAAUCUGGCGUCUACGACGUCCGAGUUGUAAUCUCGAGAAGUGUUUUCCGUGAUAGACCGCAUACAAGUCUCUUGGAACAGAGCGUCAUAGUGGUGAGAACCCAGUACACGAUGCGGAUGCCUAUUACUUUGUGAUACACUUUCGAAGAGUCGAGUUGUUUGGGAAUGCAGCUCAAAUUGGGUGGUAAAUUCCAUCUAAAGCUAAAUAUUGGCGAGAGACCGAUAGCGAACAAGUACCGUGAGGGAAAGAUGAAAAGCACUUUGGAAAGAGAGUUAACAGUACGUGAAAUUGUUGGAAGGGAAACACAUGCAGCCAGACUUGCUAUUCGGGGCAACUCGAUUGGCAGGCCCGCAUCAGUUUUUCGGGGCGGAAAAGCAUAGAGAGAAGGUAGCAAUUUCGGUUGUGUUAUAGCUCUUUAUUGGAUUCGCCCUGGGGGACUGAGGAACGCAGCGUGCUUUUAGCAUAAGCUUCGGCUUAUCCACGCUUAGGAUGCGGGUGUAAUGGCUGUAUAUGACCCGUCUUGAAACACGGACCAAGGAGUCUAACAUGCUUGCGAGUAUUUGGGUGUCAAACCCGGAUGCGCAAUGAAAGUGAAUGGAGGUGGGAAGCGCAAGCUGCACCAUCGACCGAUCUGGAUCUUUUGAGAUGGAUUUGAGUAAGAGCAAGUAUGUUGGGACCCGAAAGAUGGUGAACUAUGCCUGAAUAGGGCGAAGCCAGAGGAAACUCUGGUGGAGGCUCGUAGCGGUUCUGACGUGCAAAUCGAUCGUCAAAUUUGGGUAUAGGGGCGAAAGACUAAUCGAACCAUCUAGUAGCUGGUUCCUGCCGAU
rnacentral:rRNA from 1 species